AACCGUCCAAACGUUAUUCGGUAUCACUGGGCUUAAAGCGUGCGUAGGCGGCUUGGUAGGUGAGAUGUGAAGGCCCACGGCUCAACCGUGGAACUGCGUUUCAAACCCCCAAGCUCGAGGAAGAUAGGGGUGAUGGGAACUUAUGGUGGAGCGGUGAAAUGCGUUGAUAUCAUAGGGAACACCGGUGGCGAAAGCGCAUCACUGGAUCUUUUCUGACGCUGAGGCACGAAAGCUAGGGUAGCGAACGGGAUUAGAUACCCCGGUAGUCCUAGCCGUAAACGAUGAACACUGGGUUGAGGGGACUUCCACAUCCUCUCGGCCGUAGCGAAAGCGUUAAGUGUUCCGCCUGGGGAGUAUGGUCGCAAGGCUGAAACUCAAAGGAA
rnacentral:rRNA from 1 species